rnacentral:rRNA from 1 species
ACGGAAGGCAGCAGUGGGGAAUAUUGCACAAUGGGGGAAACCCUGAUGCAGCAACGCCGCGUGAAGGAAGACGGUCUUCGGAUUGUAAACUUUUGUUCUUAGUGAAGAUAAUGACGGUAGCUAAGGAGAAAGCCACGGCUAACUACGUGCCAGCAGCCGCGGUAAUACGUAGGUGGCAAGCGUUGUCCGGAAUUACUGGGUGUAAAGGGAGCGCAGGCGGGAAAUCAAGUUGGAUGUGAAAUGUCGGGGCUUAACCCCGGAACUGCAUCCAAAACUGAUUUUCUUGAGUGAAGUAGAGGUAGGCGGAAUUCCGAGUGUAGCGGUGAAAUGCGUAGAUAUUCGGAGGAACACCAGUGGCGAAGGCGGCUUACUGGACUGUAACUGACGUUGAGGCUCGAAAGCGUGGGGAGCAAACAGGAUUAGAUACCCUGGUA